UACGUAGGGGGCUAGCGUUGUCCGGAUUUAUUGGGCGUAAAGCGCGCGUAGGCGGCUACUUAAGUCGGAUGUGAAAGCCCUUGGCUCAACUGAGGAAGUGCACCCGAAACUGAGUGGCUAGAGUACGAAAGAGGGUCGCGGAAUUCCCGGUGUAGAGGUGAAAUUCGUAGAUAUCGGGAGGAACACCGGUGGCGAAGGCGGCGACCUGGGUCGAUACUGACGCUGAUGCGCGAAAGCGUGGGGAGCAAACAGG
rnacentral:rRNA from 1 species